rnacentral:rRNA from 1 species
AGCAGCCGCGGUAAUUCCAGCUCCAAUAGCGUAUAUUAAAGUUGUUGCAGUUAAAAAGCUCGUAGUUGAAUUUCGGGGUCAGUAGGUUGGUCGUGCCACCGGUACGUACUGGUCUCACUGAUUCCUCCUUCCUGAUGAGCUGUAAUGCCAUUAAUUUGGUGUUGCAGGGAAUCUGGACUGUUACUUUGAAAAAAUUAGAGUGUUUAAAGCAGGCUAACGCUUGAAUACAUUAGCAUGGAAUAAUGAAAUAGGACGUUCGAUCCUAUUUUGUUGGUUUCUAGGACUGACGUAAUGAUUAAUAGGGAUAGUUGGGGGCAUUAGUAUUCAAUUGUCAGAGGUGAAAUUCUUGGAUUUAUCGAAGACUAACUACUGCGAAAGCAUUUGCCAAGGAUGUUUUCAUUAAUCAAGAACGAAAGUUAAGGGGAUCGAAGACGAUCAGAUACCGUCGUA